UACGUAGGGGGCUAGCGUUGUCCGGAAUCAUUGGGCGUAAAGAGCGUGUAGGCGGUCCGGUAAGUCCGCUGUGAAAGUCGGGGGCUCAACCCUCGAAUGCCGGUGGAUACUGUCGGGCUAGAGUGCGGAAGAGGCGAGUGGAAUUCCUGGUGUAGCGGUGAAGUGCGCAGAUAUCAGGAAGAACACCAAUUGCGAAGGCAGCUCGCUGGGACGUUACUGACGCUGAGACGCGAAAGCGUGGGGAGCAAACAGG
rnacentral:rRNA from 1 species